rnacentral:misc_RNA from 1 species
AAGUCGUAACAAGGUUUCCGUAGGUGAACCUGCGGAAGGAUCAUUAACACGUAUCCACGUUAAACCUUGUUUUUGGACUUGAGGACCUGGUGAGUUCGCUUACCGAGAGUUCGAAGACGAUUCGUUUCGGCUCGGCACGUGUCGUGAAGUUGGGUGUCUGACAGUAAUUCAUUUUACUGGAUAGACAUCGGCGAUGGAUGCCACCUCUGACGAGAGUGAAACUGGAAGGGUACGUUGGUUCUC